UUAUUAGUGAGAGCAUCAAACUGUUUGUAAACAACUGAUUAACCUCCCCUCUCUACAACGAUUCUUCGCAUUGAAAGCUGAUAUCAGUUCUAGUAGCGACUGUGAGACGUUCGGUUCAGAGUCACGAUGCAGCGUAUUAUUUUAACAGUGAUUCUAUACAGUUUUGUGGUAUUGCUCGCGUACGGAUUACCCGUACCCGUCGGAAAUCCGGUUGAUCAUGUUUCGACAGUAGCUCCAAUGCAUACAUCCGCCAGCACUCAGCGAACCACCGUUCCAUUCGAUCCGCUCCGAUGGUUGAUAUCGAAAUCGGGAUCGCUGAUCAGCCGAACACUACACAAGUAAAAGGAUGGGCCUCCCCAUGGUGACUAGCGAAAUAUAUUAGGUGCACCAAGUUGUUGAGAAAACCAAAACAAGAUUAGAUUCAAGUGAUUAUGGGGCCAUUCCCUUCAUUCCGAUUGGGGUUUCGAAGCUAAGAGGAACUGGGAGAAACAGAGAAACAUAGAGCAAAUAUGAUGAUGUAUGUUUGCGAAGAACGAACAGAUUUUUAAAAUAAAAAUUAUAAAUGAAUCUAUAUAAAUAAAAAUGUAAGUCAAAAUCUGUUGGUAAGCGGCAA